ACUGACACUGAGGUGCGAAAGCGUGGGUAGCAAACAGGAUUAGAUACCCUGGUAGUCCACGCCGUAAACGAUGUCAACUAGCCGUUGGGUCCCUUGAGGACUUAGUGGCGCAGCUAACGCAAUAAGUUGACCGCCUGGGGAGUACGGCCGCAAGGUUAAAACUCAAAUGAAUUGACGGGGGCCCGCACAAGCGGUGGAGCAUGUGGUUUAAUUCGAUGCAACGCGAAGAACCUUACCUACCCUUGACAUCCAGAGGACUUUCCAGAGAUGGAUUGGUGCCUUCGGGAACUCUGAGACAGGUGCUGCAUGGCUGUCGUCAGCUCGUGUUGUGAAAUGUUGGGUUAAGUCCCGUAACGAGCGCAACCCCUAUCCUUAUUUGCCAGCGAGUAAUGUCGGGAACUCUAAGGAGACUGCCGGUGACAAACCGGAGGAAGGUGGGGACGACGUCAAGUCAUCAUGGCCCUUACGGGUAGGGCUACACACGUGCUACAAUGGCAAGUACAAAGGGUUGCAAUACGGCGACGUGGAGCCAAUCCCAUAAAGCUUGCCUCAGUCCGGAUUGGAGUCUGCAACUCGACUCCAUGAAGUCGGAAUCGCUAGUAAUCGUGGAUCAGAAUGCCACGGUGAAUACGUUCCCGGGCCUUGUACACACCGCCCGUCACACCAUGGGAGUGGACUGCACCAGAAGUGGUUAGCCUAACCUUCGGGAGGGCGAUCACCACGGUGUGGUUCAUGACUGGGGUGAAGUCGUAACAAGGUAGCCCUAGGGGGAACC
rnacentral:rRNA from 1 species